AAAAGACAGGAGAUUCUGCAACAUAAAAUUCAACCAAGCUCCCAAAACUUACCAUCAUCUAAGCUCUGACAAAAUUAUAUAUAUAUAUAUAUAUACAUAAUGGGUACAUGUAUAUUUUCUUGGAACAGUAUCCAGCUGCUGAGCCCAGAACUUACACUAUUUAGAUCAAAAUAAAACCUAAAUUUUCUUACAACAGUGUCCCUAAUUAACCAAGUGCCCUCUUCAAUAUCCCCUUUCUUCAUUGUUAAACUUCUUCAACCUCCAAGAACAAUGAAUAUGAAGCUUAUAAAGUUAAAGUUUAAUCCAGUUGAUAAAGAAAAAGAAUCAAAGAAGAGGAAUGGCAGCAGACUUUAUCAAGAAUCUUGAUGACCCUCUGAAAUUUAUGCACUUGUAUCAUCUGAGUUUCCAUUUCCAUCAAUUUUCUUCUUCUUUCCCACUCCAACCACUGACACUAUAUUCUUUACUUUCUUCCCCAACUCCUUAAAAAUCUUAGCUUUAAUUUGACCCCUUGGUGGAGGAAUUCUAACUUCUGGUCUUUUCUGGUCUUUUGGCGUGUUCUUGCAUUGAUCUUCCAUUGUUCUUGAACUAUUCAAAAGCUCUGGAAACAGAAGAAAUGUGC
rnacentral:misc_RNA from 1 species